rfam:Mycobacterium kansasii strain 1010001458 NODE_28_length_68035_cov_32.9781_ID_3754, whole genome shotgun sequence.
UUUGAUCGACCCCAACCACAGCGGCUCUUUCCCCGGCUCACGCUGCCCAUAGGUGGCCACAAUCGCCUGCGCCUC